CGACAGCAAGCCCUUAACCAUUCUUAAUUACUGCACUUUAAGACAAGGGGUUGGCAUUCUUUAGAGAAUAUGUCUGUAUAGAAUUCCAAUUUUUCAUCCUUUUCCUCUCCAACUUGCCUCAGGAACCAGCUUGAGUUAGAACUAAAACAGGAAAAAGAAAGAAGAUUACAAAACGACAGGAGCAUCCCAGGAAGGGGUUCCCAGAAGUCAGAAUCCAAGAUGGAUGGGAAGCACAAAAUGCAAGAGGAAAAUGUUAAACUAAAAAAGCCCCUGGAAGAAAGCCACAGGCUGCAACCCCACCCUAUGGAUGAACAGGAUCAGCUGCUGCUCUCUGAAAAGCCACAGGUGUGUCAGCUAUGCCAGGAAGACGGCAGCCUAACAAAGAAUGUGUGUAAGAACUGCAGCGGAACCUUCUGUGAUGCCUGUUCAACAAAUG
rnacentral:sRNA from 1 species